UCGAGAAUCUUCCGCAAUGGACGAAAGUCUGACGGAGCGACGCCGCGUGAUGGAUGAAGUCCCUCUGGGACGUAAACAUCUUUUAUGAGGGAGAAAGUUUAUUGAUAGUACCUCACGAAUAAGGGGUUGCUAAACUCGUGCCAGCAGCAGCGGUAAUACGAUUGCCCCGAGCGUUAUCCGGAAUCAUUGGGCGUAAAGGGUGUGUAGGUGGCAUUGUUAGUCACACGUUAAACCCUGGGGCUUAACCCCAGAUCUGCGUGUGAUACGGCAAAGCUAGAGGAUGGCAGGGAUGUAUGGAACUCAUGGAGUAGGGGUGAAAUCCGUUGAUAUCAUGGGGAACACCGAAAGCGAAGGCAGUACAUUGGGCCACUCCUGACACUGAAACACGAAAGCGUGGGUAGCGAAUGGGAUUAGAUACCCAAGUAGUCCCUGAGCGGGCUGGCAAGGCGCAU
rnacentral:rRNA from 1 species